GUGGGGAAUUUUGGACAAUGGGCGCAAGCCUGAUCCAGCAAUGCCGCGUGCAGGAAGAAGGCCUUCGGGUUGUAAACUGCUUUUGUACGGAACGAAACGGUCCUGGUUAAUACCUGGGGCUAAUGACGGUACCGUAAGAAUAAGCACCGGCUAACUACGUGCCAGCAGUCGCGGUAAUACGUAGGGUGCAAGCGUUAAUCGGAAUUACUGGGCGUAAAGCGUGCGCAGGCGGUUUUGUAAGACAGGCGUGAAAUCCCCGGGCUCAACCUGGGAAUUGCGCUUGUGACUGCAAGGCUGGAGUGCGGCAGAGGGGGAUGGAAUUCCGCGUGUAGCAGUGAAAUGCGUAGAUAUGCGGAGGAACACCGAUGGCGAAGGCAAUCCCCUGGGCCUGCACUGACGCUCAUGCACGAAAGCGUGGGGAGCAAACAGGAUUAGAAACCCCAGUAGUCC
rnacentral:rRNA from 1 species